rnacentral:rRNA from 1 species
GACGAACGCUGGCGGCGUGCCUAAUACAUGCAAGUCGAACGCAGUGGGGACGGGUGAGUAACACGUGGGUAACCUCCCAUCAGAGGGGAUAACACUUGGAAACAGGUGCUAAACCGAUACUGAUGGAUGGACCCGCGGGGCAUUAGCUAGUUGGUGAGGUAACGGCGCACCAAGGCCACGAUGCAUAGCCGACCUGUGAGGGUGAUCGGGCAAGCUGGGACUGAGACGCGGCCCAGACUCCUGCGGGAGGCAGCAGUAGGGAAUCUUCGGCAAUGGACGAAAGUCUGACCGAGCAACGCCGCGUGGGUGAAGAAGGUUUUCGGAUCUUAGAACUCUGUUGUUAUAGAAGCGGUAUCUUACCAGAAAGCCACGGCUAACUGCGUGCCAGCAGCCGCGGUAAUAC